AUGGAGGGCCCCAAGGGAAACGGCGGCGAGAAGCACAGCGCGGACCAAAACCAUAGCCCCAAUACUCCCGCCGCAGCCGGGGCCGGAGGGGACGACGUGUCGGCCGCCGCGGCGGCCGCGGUAGGGAGGCGGCCGUUCACCGCCUUAAGCCAGGAGGAGGCCGACCUCGCCCUCGCGCGCGUCCUCCAGGAGCAGGAGCGGGCGUACAUGAUGCUGAGCGCGCACGGCGGGGACGGCAGCGAGUACGAUGCCUCGGACGCUGGGAGCUACGACUACUACGACGAGGAAGAGGAAGGGAUCGAAGGCGACGAGGGGAGCGAUUACGAGGAGGAGGGGGAUGAGGACGAGGAGGUGGGCGAAGCGGAGGGGCCCGAAUUGGACCCCGCGCGGUACGAGGACGACGAGGCGUAUGCGCGGGCCCUGCAGGAUGCCGAGGAGCGCGAGGUCGCCCAGCGGCUCAUGGCGCUCGCUGGGAUCACUGAUUUAGGGGAAGAGAUGGAGCAUGAUGUUGAAGAUGAGGAAGAUGGGGAUAGCGCACAGGAUGCAUGGGAAGAUGUUGAUCCAGACGAAUACUCGUAUGAGGAGCUGGUUGCAUUGGGUGAAGUGGUCGGUACGGAAAGCAGAGGUGUUUCUGCCAAUACUCUGGCUUCAUUGCCUUUAGUAACUUACCAAGCAGAAGAUAACCAAGACAGCAACAUGGAACAAUGUGUUAUUUGCCGUGUGGAAUUUGAGGAAGGUGAAUCAUUGGUUGCACUUCCUUGCAAGCAUUCAUAUCAUUCUGACUGCAUAAACCAGUGGCUGCAGUUAAACAAGCCAUUGCCAUGUUGCAGGUAUGCCCUAUGUGCAGUGCAGAAGUUUCUACCCCGGGUAACAACGAGCCAUGACAUUCUGUUGUGGUCGUAA
rnacentral:rRNA from 1 species